rnacentral:rRNA from 1 species
AUUGAACGCUGGCGGCAGGCCUAACACAUGCAAGUCGAACGGUAACAAGAAGCAGCUUGCUGCUUUGCUGACGAGUGGCGGACGGGUGAGUAAUGUCUGGGAAACUGCCCGAUGGAGGGGGAUAACUACUGGAAACGGUAGCUAAUACCGCAUAACGUCGCAAGACCAAAGAGGGGGACCUUAGGGCCUCUUGCCAUCGGAUGUGCCCAGAUGGGAUUAGCUAGUAGGUGGGGUAACGGCUCACCUAGGCGACGAUCCCUAGCUGGUCUGAGAGGAUGACCAGCCACACUGGAACUGAGACACGGUCCAGACUCCUACGGGAGGCAGCAGUGGGGAAUAUUGCACAAUGGGCGCAAGCCUGAUGCAGCCAUGCCGCGUGUAUGAAGAAGGCCUUCGGGUUGUAAAGUACUUUCAGCGGGGAGGAAGGGAGUAAAGUUAAUACCUUGGCUCAUUGACGUUACCCGCAGAAGAAGCACCGGCUAACUCCGUG